GCAGCAGAAAUUAUAUCAUAAUCAUAACGUUUGGCACGCAGGCCUCAUCAAAUAUCUCGAAAGAGUUAGUUCAAUAACAUAAAGCAAUAACAUGAUAGUCACGUAAGAGAAUGAAGCAUGCAUAACAAAACCCCAUCCCGUUACGUAUCAGAGCGACUUAGACGACACAGUGAGGCAAGGCCACCCACGACGGCAACUGCACACUAAGCACGAUCACCUGCAAGUUACCAUAAGAAGG
rnacentral:lncRNA from 1 species